UUGAUGAAGUGCAAGGCCUAACAAUUUUUCACAUUAAGAGUCAUUUACAGAAAUAUCGGGCAGUAAAGUGUAUUAUGAAUUUCUCUGAAGGUAAACAUGGAGGGAAAGCAAAUCAUGAUCGAAUGCCAAUUCACAACAGUAAAAAAAAUGGUGGAGUUCAUAUUUCAGAAGCUCUUCGUCUGCAAUUGGAUGUACAAAAGAACUUACAUGAACAAUUAGAGGUUGAACAUAUAAACUCUAAUCCCUUUAUUUAAACUGCCAAGGACUUCUAUUAUCUAA